rnacentral:rRNA from 1 species
UGGGGAAUAUUGCACAAUGGGCGCAAGCCUGAUGCAGCCAUGCCGCGUGUAUGAAGAAGGCCUUCGGGUUGUAAAGUACUUUCAGCGAGGAGGAAGGCGGUAAGGUUAAUAACCUUAUCGAUUGACGUUACUCGCAGAAGAAGCACCGGCUAACUCCGUGCCCGCAGCCGCGGUAAUACGGAGGGUGCAAGCGUUAAUCGGAAUUACUGGGCGUAAAGCGCACGCAGGCGGUCUGUCAAGUCGGAUGUGAAAUCCCCGGGCUCAACCUGGGAACUGCAUUCGAAACUGGCAGGCUAGAGUCUUGUAGAGGGGGGUAGAAUUCCAGGUGUAGCGGUGAAAUGCGUAGAGAUCUGGAGGAAUACCGGUGGCGAAGGCGGCCCCCUGGACAAAGACUGACGCUCAGGUGCGAAAGCGUGGGGAGCAAACA